GGAGCUAAUCCAAAGCUUGUAAGAUCUCUUUCUUUUUAAUUCUUUUUGCUCCCAAAAGACUCACUAAGAUGAUAGAACAAUUUUUUGUGUUAGGAAAUUUAGGUUUUAAUGGAUGGAAACCCAAGAAAUCAAGCUUAGUAAAGCUUAGUUAUGGAGGGCAAAGGGGGCGGCAAGAAAGGAGAGAAGAAGAGCAGAUGGUGGUUCAC
rnacentral:misc_RNA from 1 species